UGGGCUAACCGCAAGGAGGCAGGCGCCGAAGGUAUGAUAGAUGAUUGGAACGAAGUCGUAACAAGGUAGCCGUAUCGGAAGGUGCGGCUGGAUCACCUCCUUU
rnacentral:rRNA from 1 species